rnacentral:rRNA from 1 species
GAUGAACGCUGGCGGCGUGCUUAACACAUGCAAGUCGAACGGAAAGGCUCCUGCUUGCAGGGGUACUCGAGUGGCGAACGUGUGAGUAACACGUGGGUGAUCUGCCCUGCACUUCGGGAUAAGCCGGGGAAACUGGGUCUAAUACCGGCUAGGACGAUGGUUUGGAUGCGAUUGUGGAAAGUUUUUCGGUGUGGGAUGAGCUCGCGGGCUAUGAGCUUGUUGGUGGGGUAAUGGCCUACCAAGCCGUCGACGGGUAGCCGGCAUGAGAGGGUGUACGGCCACCUUGGGACUGAGAUACGGCCCAGACUCCUACGGGAGGCAGCAGUGGGGAAUAUUGCACAAUGGGCGCAAGCCUGAUGCAGCGACGCCGCGUGGGGGAUGACGGCCUGCGGGUUGUAAACUCCUUUCGCUAGGGACGAAGCGCAAGUGACGGUACCUGGAGAAGAAGCACCGGCUAACUACGUG